rnacentral:misc_RNA from 1 species
GCAAACUUGGUCAUUUAGAGGAAGUAAAAGUCGUAACAAGGUUUCCGUAGGUGAACCUGCGGAAGGAUCAUUAACGAGUAACUGAACGGGUUGUAGCUGGCCUCUCGGGGCAUGUGCACACCUGGCUCAUCCACUCUUCAACCUCUGUGCACUUGUUGUAGGUCGGCAGAAGGGCGAGUCUAACAGCUCGCUUGGAAGCCUUCCUAUGUUUUACUACAAACGCUUCAGUUUAAGAAUGUAACCUUGCGUAUAACGCAUCUUUAUACAACUUUCAGCAACGGAUCUCUUGGCUCUCGCAUCGAUGAAGAACGCAGC